CCUCCAGAAAAAUGCAGGCAAAAUCUUUGAUUAUGCGGGUAAAAAUCCUUGAUUAUGCGAUGGAAUAUGCAGGGUUUAUAUGUGAUUUUAUGAGGUGAAAUUGCAGGAAUUUGCAAAAAAUGUGCGAAGUUGCGAAAAUAUGCGUUUUACUGGAAAAACCAAGC